rnacentral:rRNA from 1 species
GAUGAACGCUGGCGGCGUGCCUAAUACAUGCAAGUCGAGCGAACAGACGAGGAGCUUGCUCCUCUGACGUUAGCGGCGGACGGGUGAGUAACACGUGGAUAACCUACCUAUAAGACUGGGAUAACUUCGGGAAACCGGAGCUAAUACCGGAUAAUAUAUUGAAUCGCAUGGUUCAAUAGUGAAAGACGGUUUUGCUGUCACUUAUAGAUGGAUCCGCGCCGCAUUAGCUAGUUGGUAAGGUAACGGCUUACCAAGGCAACGAUGCGUAGCCGACCUGAGAGGGUGAUCGGCCACACUGGAACUGAGACACGGUACAGACUCCUACGGGAGGCAGCAGUAGGGAAGCUUCCGCAAUGGGCGAAAGCCUGACGGAGCAACGCCGCGUGAAUGAUGAAGGUCUUCGGAUCGUAAAACUCUGUUAUGAGGGAAGAACAAAUGUGUAAGUAACUAUGCACGUCUUGACGGUACCUAAUCAGAAAGCCACGGCUAACUACGUG